rnacentral:rRNA from 1 species
UAGCAUAUGCUUGUCUCAAAGAUUAAGCCAUGCAUGUCUAAGUAUAAACAACUUUGUACUGUGAAACUGCGAAUGGCUCAUUAAAUCAGUUAUAGUUUAUUUGAUGUUACCUUGCUACAUGGAUAACUGUGGUAAUUCUAGAGCUAAUACAUGCAAUCAAGCCCCGACUUCCGGAAGGGGUGUAUUUAUUAGAUAAAAAACCAACGCGGCUCGCCGCUCAUUUGGUGAUUCAUAAUAACUUCUCGAAUCGCAUGGCCUUGUGCUGGCGAUGCUUCAUUCAAAUAUCUGCCCUAUCAACUUUCGAUGGUAGGAUAGUGGCCUACCAUGGUUUCAACGGGUAACGGGGAAUAAGGGUUCGAUUCCGGAGAGGGAGCCUGAGAAACGGCUACCACAUCCAUGGAAGGCAGCAGGCGCGCAAAUUACCCAAUCCCGACACGGGGAGGUAGUGACAAUAAAUAACGAUAUAGGGCUCUUUAGGGUCUUAUAAUUGGAAUGAGUACAAUUCAAAUCUCUUAACGAGGAACAAUU